GCGGACGCUGGCGGCAGGCUUAACACAUGCAAGUCGAGCGGGCACUUUCGGGUGUCAGCGGCGGACGGGUGAGUAACGCGUGGGAACGUGCCCUCUGGUUCGGAAUAACUCAGGGAAACUUGAGCUAAUACCGGAUACGCCCUUUUGGGGAAAGGCUUGCUGCCGGAGGAUCGGCCCGCGUCUGAUUAGCUAGUUGGUGAGGUAACGGCUCACCAAGGCGACGAUCAGUAGCUGGUCUGAGAGGAUGAUCAGCCACACUGGGACUGAGACACGGCCCAGACUCCUACGGGAGGCAGCAGUGGGGAAUAUUGGACAAUGGGCGCAAGCCUGAUCCAGCCAUGCCGCGUGAGUGAUGAAGGCCUUAGGGUUGUAAAGCUCUUUUAUCCGGGACGAUAAUGACGGUACCGGAGGAAUAAGCCCCGGCUAACUUCGUG
rnacentral:rRNA from 1 species